GAUGAACGCUAGCUACAGGCUUAACACAUGCAAGUCGAGGGACCGGCGCACGGGUGAGUAACACGUAUCCAACCUGCCCUUUACUCGGGGAUAGCCUUUCGAAAGAAAGAUUAAUACCCGAUAUAACGGAUGGGGAUGCGUUCCAUUAGGUUGUUGGGGAGGUAACGGCGCACCAAGCCUUCGAUGGCUAGGGGUUCUGAGAGGAAGGUCCCCCACAUUGGAACUGAGACACGGUCCAAACGCGUACGGGAGGCAGCAGUGAGGAAUAUUGGUCAAUGGGCGCUAGCCUGAACCAUCCAAGUAGCGUGAAGGAUGAAGGCUUAUGGGUCGUAAACUUCUUUUAUAUAAGAAUAGGUAUUAUAUGAAUAAGGAUCGGCUAACUCCGUGCCAGCCGCGGCGUAAUUC
rnacentral:rRNA from 1 species